rnacentral:rRNA from 1 species
AGGUCACUGCUAUCGGUGUUCGAUUAAGCCAUGCGAGUCGUGAGGGGUAAAGCCCUCGGCGGAGUGCUCAGUAACACGUGGACAACCUACCCAAGAGUCAGGGAUAACCCCGGGAAACUGGGGAUAAUACCUGAUAGGCCAUGACAUCUGGAAUCGAGUUGUGGUUUAAACGUAAGGCUCUUGGAUGGGUCUGCGGCGGAUUAGGUUGUUGCCGGUGUAACGUACCAGCAAGCCUGUAAUCCGUACGGGUUGUGGGAGUAAGAGCCCGGAGAUGGAUUCUGAGACACGAAUCCAGGCCCUACGGGGCGCAGCAGGCGCGAAAACUCUACAAUGCAGGCAACUGCGAUAGGGGAACAUCGAGUGGCAUCCACCAUGGAUGUCUGUCCAAUCGUCUAAAAAACGAUUGUCAGCAAGGGCCGGGCAAGACCGGUGCCAGCCGCCGCGGUAAUACCGGCGGCUCGAGUGGUGGCCGAUAUUAUUGAGUCUAAAGGGUCCGUAGCCGGCUUUGCAAGUCCUAUGGGAAAUCCAGCGGCUUAACCGUUGGGCUUUCAUGGGGUACUACAUUGCUUGGGACUGGGAGAGGUAGGAGGUACUCAGGGGGUAGGGGUGAAAUCCUGUAAUCCUUUGGGGACCACCGGUGGCGAAGGCGUCCUACCAGAACAGGUCCGACGGUGAGGGACGAAAGCUAGGGGCACGAACCGGAUUAGAUACCCGGGUAGUCCUAGCCGUAAACGAUGCUCGCUAGGUGUCACGGCAGUCGUGAAUUGUCGUGGUGCCGUAGGGAAGCCGUGAAGCGAGCCACUUGGGAAGUACGACCGCAAGGUUGAAACUUAA